CGCGGCCAGUGGAUUCAGUCUCCUUGAAGCCCCAAUGGAUUUCGAGUCCAUCGCCUUAACCACUCGGCCACGACUGC